rnacentral:rRNA from 1 species
AAUAGAUACCCGGGUAGUCCACGCCGUAAACGAUGGAUGCUAGCUGUUAGGAGUAUCGACCCUCCUAGUAGCGUAGCUAACGCGUUAAGCAUCCCGCCUGUGGAGUACGAGCGCAAGCUUAAAACAUAAAGGAAUUGACGGGGACCCGCACAAGCGGUGGAGCGUGUUGUUUAAUUCGAUGGUAAGCGAAGAACCUUACCCAGGCUUGACAUCCUGCCAAAGACUCCGAAAGGAGACUGUGCCUUCGGGCCGCAGUGACAGGUGAUGCAUGGCCGUCGUCAGCUCGUGUCGUGAGAUGUUUGGUUAAGUCCAUCAACGAGCGCAACCCCUAUGACUAGUUGUAUUUCUCUAGUCAGACUGCCCUGGCAACAGUGAGGAAGGAGGGGAUGAUGUCAGGUCAGUAUCUCCCUUACGCCUGGGGCUACAAACACGCUACAAUGGCCGGUACAAAGGGCAGCCAACCCGCGAGGGGGGCAAAUCCCAUCAAAGCCGGUCUCAGUUCGGAUUGCAGGCUGAAACUCG